rnacentral:rRNA from 1 species
UAGUCCACGCCGUAAACGAUGGAUACUAGCUGUUCGAUCUUCGGAUUGAGUGGCUAAGCGAAAGUGAUAAGUAUCCCACCUGGGGAGUACGUUCGCAAGAAUGAAACUCAAAGGAAUUGACGGGGGCCCGCACAAGCGGUGGAGCAUGUGGUUUAAUUCGAUGAUACGCGAGGAACCUUACCAGGGCUUAAAUGUAGUUUGACAGAUUUGGAAACAGAUUUUUCUUCGGACAGAUUACAAGGUGCUGCAUGGUUGUCGUCAGCUCGUGCCGUGAGGUGUCAGGUUAAGUCCUAUAACGAGCGCAACCCCUGUUGUUAGUUGCCAGCGAGUGAUGUCGGGAACUCUAACAAGACUGCCGGUGCAAACCGUGAGGAAGGUGGGGACGACGUCAAAUCAUCACGGCCCUUACGUCCUGGGCCACACACGUGCUACAAUGGCCGGUACAAUGAGCAGCGAACUCGCGAGGGAAGCAAAUCUCAUAAAACCGGUCUCAGUUCGAAUUGCAGG